rnacentral:rRNA from 1 species
AGCGAACGCUGGCGGCAGGCCUAACACAUGCAAGUCGAACGAACUCUUCGGAGUUAGUGGCGGACGGGUGAGUAACACGUGGGAACGUGCCUUUUGGUUCGGAAUAACUCAGGGAAACUUGUGCUAAUACCGAAUGUGCCCUUCGGGGGAAAGAUUUAUCGCCAUUGGAGCGGCCCGCGUCUGAUUAGCUAGUUGGUGAGGUAACGGCUCACCAAGGCGACGAUCAGUAGCUGGUCUGAGAGGAUGACCAGCCACACUGGGACUGAGACACGGCCCAGACUCCUACGGGAAGCAGCAGUGGGGAAUCUUGCGCAAUGGGCGAAAGCCUGACGCAGCCAUGCCGCGUGAAUGAUGAAGGUCUUAGGAUUGUAAAAUUCUUUCACCGGGGACGAUAAUGACGGUACCCGGAGAAGAAGCCCCGGCUAACUUCGUG